rnacentral:rRNA from 1 species
AGUGAACGCUGGCGGUAGGCCUAACACAUGCAAGUCGAACGGCAGCACAGUAAGAGCUUGCUCUUCCGGGUGGCGAGUGGCGGACGGGUGAGGAAUACAUCGGAAUCUACUUUUUCGUGGGGGAUAACGUAGGGAAACUUACGCUAAUACCGCAUACGACCUACGGGGGAAAGCAGGGGAUCUUCGGACCUUGCGCGAUUGAAUGAGCCGAUGUCGGAUUAGCUAGUUGGCGGGGUAAAGGCCCACCAAGGCGACGAUCCGUAGCUGGUCUGAGAGGAUGAUCAGCCACACUGGAACUGAGACACGGUCCAGACUCCUACGGGAGGCAGCAGUGGGGAAUAUUGGACAAUGGGCGCAAGCCUGAUCCAGCCAUACCGCGUGGGUGAAGAAGGCCUUCGGGUUGUAAAGCCCUUUUGUUGGGAAAGAAAAGCAGCAGGUUAAUACCCCGCUGUUCUGACGGUACCCAAAGAAUAAGCACCGGCUAACUUCGUG